rfam:Flavobacteriaceae bacterium TMED42 12816, whole genome shotgun sequence.
UGUUAUCGAAGGAUCAGACCUUAAUUCAUAACA